rnacentral:rRNA from 1 species
AUUGAACGCUAGCGGCAGGCCUAACACAUGCAAGUCGAACGCGUGGCGGACGGGUGAGUAAUGUCUGGGAAACUGCCUGAUGGAGGGGGAUAACUACUGGAAACGGUAGCUAAUACCGCAUACCAUCAGAUGUGCCCAGAUGGGAUUAGCUAGUUGGUGGGGUAACGGCUCACCAGGGCGACGAUCCCUAGCUGGUCUGAGAGGAUGACCAGCACAACGGGAACUGAGACACGGUCCAGAUUCCAACGGGAGGCAGUAGUGGGGAAUAUUGCACAAUGGGCGCAGGCCGGAUGCGGCCAUGCCGCGUGUAUGAAGAAGGCCUUCGGGUUGUAAAGUACUUUCAGCGGGGAGGCGUUACCCGCAGAAGAAGCACCGGCUAACUCCGUGCCAGCAGCCGCGGUAAUUC